UUCUGUAGCUUAGUUGGUUAAAGCGCCGGUCCAGCGUACACGGAGUCGUGAGUUCGAGUCUCACUAGAA
rnacentral:tRNA from 1 species